AGAGUUUGAUCCUGGCUCAGGACGAACGCUGGCGGCAUGCCUAACACAUGCAAGUCGAACGGAGAUUAUUUCGGUAAUCUUAGUGGCGAACGGGUGAGUAACGCGUGGGCAACCUGCCCUCUAGAUGGGGACAACAUCCCGAAAGGGGUGCUAAUACCGAAUGUGACAGCAAUCUCGCAUGAGGAUGCUGUGAAAGAUGGCCUCUAUUUAUAAGCUAUCGCUAGAGGAUGGGCCUGCGUCUGAUUAGCUAGUUGGUGGGGUAACGGCCUACCAAGGCGAUGAUCAGUAGCCGGUCUGAGAGGAUGAACGGCCACAUUGGGACUGAGACACGGCCCAGACUCCUACGGGAGGCAGCAGUGGGGAAUCUUCCGCAAUGGGCGAAAGCCUGACGGAGCAAUGCCGCGUGAGUGAUGAAGGAAUUCGUUCCGUAAAGCUCUUUUGUUUAUGACGAAUGUGCAGAUUGUGAAUAAUGAUUUGUAAUGACGGUAGUAAACGAAUAAGCCACGGCUAACUACGUGCCAGCAGCCGCGGUAAUACGUAGGUGGCGAGCGUUGUCCGGAAUUAUUGGGCGUAAAGAGCAUGUAGGCGGUUUUUUAAGUCUGGAGUGAAAAUGCGGGGCUCAACCCCGUAUGGCUCUGGAUACUGGAAGACUUGAGUGCAGGAGAGGAAAGGGGAAUUCCCAGUGUAGCGGUGAAAUGCGUAGAUAUUGGGAGGAACACCAGUGGCGAAGGCGCCUUUCUGGACUGUGUCUGACGCUGAGAUGCGAAAGCCAGGGUAGCGAACGGGAUUAGAUACCCCGGUAGUCCUGGCCGUAAACGAUGGGUACUAGGUGUAGGAGGUAUCGACCCCUUCUGUGCCGGAGUUAACGCAAUAAGUACCCCGCCUGGGGAGUACGACCGCAAGGUUGAAACUCAAAGGAAUUGACGGGGGCCCGCAC
rnacentral:rRNA from 1 species